GCUCUCCGGGCGCUGGGAGGACGCCGUGCAGGAUGUUCUCUCCACCAAAGAUCUCCUCGUGAGCGGCGACGAUGACCGCCCCGGCAGCGCCUCGGGAAGCAGCGACACUGCAGUAGCCCGGCUCGUCCCAGCGCCGCACACCGGGAUGCUGCACUGAGCCGGGGCGGCCCCGCUUCUGUUCUCCUUCCCCCCCCCCCCUCCGACCUCGACUUUCAGCAGCUCUGGGAUUUGUAUGGCAGCGGCGUAACCGUGGAGAGGCCGGGGUAUCACAAACUGAUGGAUUUUGAUAAGAGAGGAGGGAAAGGGGAGCUGGAGGAAGGUAAAAGGAUGUCCAAAACGGGUGGAGGAAGGAGCAGCCAUGGAAGUCGGAGCGCCGGAACCAACUCGGGAGUCUUAAUGGUGGGUCCCAACUUCCGCGUCGGAAAGAAGAUCGGAUGCGGCAAUUUCGGGGAGCUCCGCUUAGGAAAGAACCUCUACACCAACGAAUACGUAGCGAUCAAAU
rnacentral:lncRNA from 1 species